AGUGAACGCUGGCGGUAGGCCUAACACAUGCAAGUCGAACGGCAGCACAGUAAGAGCUUGCUCUUACGGGUGGCGAGUGGCGGACGGGUGAGGAAUACAUCGGAAUCUACUUUUUCGUGGGGGUUAACGUAGGGAAACUUACGCUAAUACCGCAUACGACCUACGGGUGAAAGCAGGUGAUCUUCGGACCUUGCGCGAUUGAAUGAGCCUAUGUCGGAUUAGCUAGUUGGCGGGGUAAAGGCCCACCAAGGCGACGAUCCGUGGCGGAUCUGAGAGGAUGAUCAGCCACAGUGGAACUGAGACACGGGCCAGACUCCUACGGGAGGCAGCAGUGGGGAAUAUUGGACAAUGGGCGAAAGCCUGAUCCAGCCAUACCGCGUGGGUGAAGAAGGCCUUCGGGUUGUAAAGCCCUUUUGUUGGGAAAGAAAAGCAGCAGGUUAAUACCCCGCUGUUCUGACGGUACCCAAAGAAUAAGCACCGGCUAACUUCGU
rnacentral:rRNA from 1 species